CGUGGAGACAGGUGGUGCAUGGCUGUCGUCAGCUCGUGUCGUGAGGUGUUGGGUUAAGUCCCGCAACGAGCGCAACCCUCACCCCUGGUUGCCACCGGGUAAAGCCGAGCACUCGAGGGGAACUGCCAGCGUCAAGCUGGAGGAAGGCGGGGAUGACGUCAAGUCAUCAUGCCCCUUACGCCCUGGGCUACACACGUGCUACAAUGGCCGGUACAAAGGGACGCGAGACCGCGAGGUGGAGCUAAUCCCAAAAAACCGGUCUAAGUUCAGAUUGCAGUCUGCAACUCGACUGCAUGAAGGAGGAAUCGCUAGUAAUCGCGCAUCAGCACGGCGCGGUGAAUACGUUCCCGGGCCUUGUACACACCGCCCGUCACACCACGAAAGCUGUCUGUACUCGAAGUCGCUGAG
rnacentral:rRNA from 1 species